rnacentral:rRNA from 1 species
UACGGAAUGGAUAAGCGCUGAAAGCAUCUAAGCGCGAAGCCAACUUCAAGAUAAGAUUUCCCACCGUAAGGGUAAGAUCCCAGGAAGACUACCUGGUUGAUAGGUCAAAGGUGUAAGUGCAGCAAUGCAUGUAGCUUAUUGAUACUAAUAGAUCGAGGACUUGACCAAG